rnacentral:rRNA from 1 species
UACGAAGGGGCUAGCGUUGCUCGGAAUUACUGGGCGUAAAGCGCACGUAGGCGGAUCUUUAAGUCAGGGGUGAAAUCCUGGAGCUCAACUCCAGAACUGCCUUUGAUACUGAGGAUCUUGAGUAUGGGAGAGGUGAGUGGAACUGCGAGUGUAGAGGUGAAAUUCGUAGAUAUUCGCAAGAACACCAGUGGCGAAGGCGGCUCACUGGCCCGAUACUGACGCUGAGGCACGAAAGCGUGGGGAGCAAACAGG